rnacentral:rRNA from 1 species
AGAGUUGAUCCUGGCUCAGGACGAACGCUGGCGGCGUGCCUAACACAUGCAAGUCGAGCGAGUGGAGUUCUUCGGAACAAAGCUAGCGGCGAACGGGUGAGUAACACUGGGCAACCUACCUCAUAGAGGGGAAUAGCCUUCCGAAAGGGAGAUUAAUACCGCAUAAGAUUGUAGCUUCGCAUGAAGUAGCAAUUAAAGGAGUAAUCCGCUAUGAGAUGGGCCCGCGGCGCAUUAGCUAGUUGGUGAGGUAACGGCUCACCAAGGCGACGAUGCGUAGCCGACCUGAGAGGGUGAUCGGCCACAUUGGGACUGAGACACGGCCCAGACUCCUACGGGAGGCAGCAGUGGGGAAUAUUGCACAAUGGGGGAAACCCUGAUGCAGCAACGCCGCGUGAGUGAUGACGGCCUUCGGGUUGCAAAGCUCUGUCUUCAGGGACGAUAAUGACGGUACCUGAGGAGGAAGCCACGGCUAACUACGUG